CAAACCCGCCCGGAGCCGCGCGGGGCCCCGCAGGAGCCGCCCUGAGGGGGCCAAUUCCUGAAAACCCCAAAUUCCUGAAAACCCCAAAAUUCAGGAUGGGGAUUCGGGAUCCCAUCCUGGGAACGUUUACAGAUCCCACUGUGCCAUUCCCCCCUUUUUUCCCCAUUUUUUUCCCAAUUUUUCCCUCUUUUUUCCCAAUUUUUUCCCAUUUUUCCCAUUUUUCCCCCCCUUUUUUCAAUUUUUCCCCCUUUUUUUCCCCCUCAUUUUUCCCCCUCUUCCCCUGGUUUUCCCACUGGGAUUUUUGGGGUUUGCUUUUGUCCCAAUCCAGAAAUUUUCUCCCCAAAAAAUUCCCAAAAUCCCAACCCCGACCUCGCGCUGGCUGUGAAUGGGAGGAAAUUUGGGAUUUUGGAGGGGGAAAUUUGGAAUUUUUGGGGCAAAAUUUGGGAUUUCCCUUUGGGAUUUGGGAUUUUCCUUUGGGAUUUCUCCCUUUGGAAUUUGGGAUUUUUUUGGGAUUUGUGCUGUCCCCCCUCCCCCCAUUAAACUCCACCAUUUUUGGGUUUUCUCUGGAAUUUAUUUCAGGAAUUUCCUCCCCACCCU
rnacentral:lncRNA from 1 species